UGGAGAGUUUGAUCCUGGCUCAGGAUGAACGCUGGCGGCGUGCUUAACACAUGCAAGUCGAACGGGAUCCGGCCAGCUUGCUGGUUGGUGAGAGUGGCGAACGGGUGAGUAAUGCGUGACCGACCUGCCCCAUGCUCCGGAAUAGCUCCUGGAAACGGGUGGUAAUGCCGGAUGGUCCAGCAUGCUGCAUGGCGUGUUGGGAAAGAUUUAUCGGCGUGGGAUGGGGUCGCGUCCUAUCAGCUUGACGGUGGGGUGAUGGCCUACCGUGGCUUCGACGGGUAGCCGGCCUGAGAGGGCGACCGGCCACAUUGGGACUGAGAUACGGCCCAGACUCCUACGGGAGGCAGCAGUGGGGAAUAUUGCACAAUGGGCGCAAGCCUGAUGCAGCGACGCCGCGUGAGGGAUGGAGGCCUUCGGGUUGUAAACCUCUUUUAGCAGGGAGCAAGGCUUCGGUUGAGUGUACCUGUUGAAUAAGCACCGGCUAACUACGUGCCAGCAGCCGCGGUA
rnacentral:rRNA from 1 species